rnacentral:rRNA from 1 species
UACGUAGGGGGCAAGCGUUGUCCGGAAUCAUUGGGCGUAAAGAGCGCGUAGGCGGCCCUGUAAGUCCGCUGUGAAAGUCAAGGGCUCAACCCUUGGAUGCCGGUGGAUACUGCAGGGCUAGAGUCCGGAAGAGGCGAGUGGAAUUCCUGGUGUAGCGGUGAAAUGCGCAGAUAUCAGGAGGAACACCGGUGGCGAAGGCGGGUCUCUGGGCCGAUACUGACGCUGAGGAGCGAAAGCGUGGGGAGCGAACAGG